CCUACGGGAGGCAGCAGUGAGGAAUAUUGGUCAAUGGACGAGAGUCUGAACCAGCCAAGUAGCGUGAAGGAUGACUGCCCUAUGGGUUGUAAACUUCUUUUAUAUGGGAAUAAAAUGUUCCACGUGUGGGAUGUUGUAUGUACCAUAUGAAUAAGGAUCGGCUAACUCCGUGCCAGUAGCCGCGGUAAUACGGAGGAUCCGAGCGUUAUGCGGAUUUAUUGGGUUUAAAGGGAGAGUAGGUGGAUUGUUAAGUCAGUUGUGAAAGUUUGCGGCUCAACCGUAAAAUUGCAGUUGAAACUGGCAGUCUUGAGUACAGUAGAGGUGGGCGGAAUUCGUGGUGUAGCGGUGAAAUGCUUAGAUAUCACGAAGAACUCCGAUUGCGAAGGCAGCUCACUGGACUGCAACUGACACUGAGGCUCGAAAGUGUGGGUAUCAAACAGGAUUAGAUACCCUGGUAGUC
rnacentral:rRNA from 1 species